UCCUCGAUAGUAUAGUGGUCAGUAUCCCCGCCUGUCACGCGGGAGACCGGGGUUCAAUUCCACGUCGGGGAG
rfam:Aedes albopictus isolate Foshan contig153032, whole genome shotgun sequence.